rnacentral:tRNA from 1 species
CGCCGGGGGCGGUGGCCAGGAUCGCGCCGUGCUCGCAGCCCGGCACGUCCACGCAGACCACGGUGAUGUCGUUCGGGCCGGCCGCGGCGGCCA